UACAGAGGCCCCAAGCGUUACUGAGAAUCACUGGGUUUAAAGGGUGCGUAGGUGGUCCGUUAAGUUCGUUGUGAAAUCCCUGGGCUCAACCCAGGAAUGCUUCGAAUACUGGCGGACUUGAGGCUAGUAGAGGUCACUGGAAUUACGGUGUAGCGGUGAAAUGCGUAGAUAUCGUAAGGAAGACCAGUGGCGAAGGCGGGUCUCUGGACAGUUCCUGACGCUGAGGCACGAAGGCCAGGGAGCAAACGGG
rnacentral:rRNA from 1 species